UUUCCCUUGGUUUAUGAUAUUCAAUUUGGCUCCUGCUGUAAUGUACACUGAAACCUCAGGCUGCUGAGCUAUCUUGAUGGUUUUAAGAAGACAAUCUGGUGCCUUUACCUGCUAGAGAAGUCACCUAGAAUCCUGUUGUUUAAGCAGAAGAUUGUGUUUCCCCACCACCCCCACACCAAACCCAGGGAAAAGAUAAGCUAACAGGCAGAUCUUCCUGUCACCAAACACACAGAUCUACCUUCAACUUCAUCCUCCCAAUCCAAUGAAGACUUCAUCUAAUGUCUCUUCGGUAUGAGUGCACACUUCCUCCCUGGAGCCUUCAUAUAGAACUACUUAACAAUAUACAUACUGAUCCAUUGUGGAAUUAUUAAGGAAAAUACAUUGAAAUAGGUGGCAUUCUUGUCAAAGAUAUAUAUGGACGGCUAGAUGGAUAGAUAGGUGAAAAUCAUGUUCCAUGGAAGAAGAGUUAGCUCAGCCUGCAACUCAAACAAGUACAGAUAUUCUUCCAUGGAAUGACCAUCAUACUUGGAUUGUAAUAAAAAUGCUUUAGGCAAACUUCUCAUUUCAUCCUUGGCAUAUUAAAAAUAUGUAUGUAUGUUUAAGGCUUGAAACUUAACACUGUAUUUUAAUGUUUCAGUAAGGUAAUUCUUCUUAAAUAAAAUUGGCAUUUUUAAAAAA
rnacentral:lncRNA from 1 species